UCAUCAAAAUCUUUCUAAAUACAGCUAAAGUAGCUUUGUCGGAGCAUGGCCACCUAGUUACAAUUGAAGUCCAUCCUUGGGCCGGUUACUUAUUUUUAUGUUCGAUUUAGAAAAUAUCAAAAGAGUUAAAUAGAUGAACUAAAACAAAAAUUAUUAAAAUCUAUAUCCAUACCAUAUUGUUGAAAGGGACUCCAAUGCUCUCCCAAUGAGCCAUAUGUCAAGCAUUAGAUAUGCCAUGCAUGUUUUCUUUUUUUUUUUUUUGGUGGCCGCUUCUUGGUUAGCA
rnacentral:lncRNA from 1 species